rnacentral:rRNA from 1 species
GACGAACGCUGGCGGCGUGCUUAACACAUGCAAGUCGAACGGUUAAGCGCCUUCCUUUUUGGUGGGUGUGGAUGAGUGGCGAACGGGUGAGUAACACGUGAGUAACCUGCCCCCUUCUUCUGGAUAACCGCAUGAAAGUGUGGCUAAUACGGGAUAUUCUGGGUCUGUCGCAUGAUGGGUCUGGGAAAGAUAUUGUUUCGGUGGGGGAUGGGCUCGCGGCCUAUCAGCUUGUUGGUGGGGUGAUGGCCUACCAAGGCGGUGACGGGUAGCCGGCCUGAGAGGGUGGACGGUCACACGGGGAAUGAGACACGGGCCAGACGCCUACGGGAGGCAGCAGGGGGGAAUAUUGCACAAUGGGCGCAAGCCUGAUGCAGCGACGCCGCGUGAGGGAUGGAGGCCUUCGGGUUGUGAACCUCUUUCGCCAGUGAAGCAGGCCUGCCUCGUUUGUGGGUGGGUUGACGGUAGCUGGAUAAGAAGCGCCGGCUAACUACGUG